rnacentral:tRNA from 1 species
GCGCUUAUCGUCUAGUGGCCGAGGACACUGCAAUUUCUAAGCAGUAACCGGGGUUCGAAUCCCUGUAGGCGCA